rnacentral:piRNA from 1 species
UCAAAUGAGGGAUGUGAUCUUGGGCCAUGU